rnacentral:sRNA from 1 species
UCAAGGUCUUCAUCCGCGGUCCAAGG